GGAACUACAAGAAGCUCCACUGCAAGACCCUAAGAGAGUAAAACCAACAAUUAGCACUGAUGAUAUCCAGCAGCAGCAACAGCGGCAGCAGAUACGGCCUCAAUCAGCUGCCCUUGGUGGGCAGGACAUGCAAUGGAAGAAGGGGAUGCAGUAUGCUUCAUUGAAUGGCCAGAGAUACCCUUCUCCAAUGGUGAACAAUCUGCAAGAUUCAGGGGCUUCCUUUUAUUUCAGAGAGCAGGGUUUGAGAUAUGGUGCUAAGCAAGAGCAGAUGGAUGGCAUGGACAGAUGCAAAGACCCCUUGCAGGCUAUGCCCCCUGAAAAUACUGUGCUCGAUCAGCAGCAAUCCCAUGCUCAACACUUGUCACAACAAGCAGCAGCUAGAAACAAUCUACAGAACAUGGCACAGUGGCAGAAUCCUCGGGGUCCAAGUGAGAAAGACAUGAAGAAAGAAGAAAUGCUUCAGAGAAGAAAGUUAGCUGCUGCCUCUCGUGUCUCUUCUGCACCAAUGGUUCAGUCUCCAGUAUCCUCUAAAUCUGGAGAGAUAUCAAGCAGUUCAAUGGGUGGCCAGUUUGGUUCUGCUGCAACAUCUGCUGCAAUUGGAUCACAUAAAGAUAAUAAGUUUGCCACGAGUUCUAGUGCUGCCGUAGGAUACCCAUCUGUGGUUUCCAGUCCUAGUGAUUCUAUGCACCGGAUGCAGCAGCCUUCGGUUGCUCCUUCGAAAAGGAAAAAUUCUGCCCCCAAGACUCAACCACUUGUAAGCAGUGUAGGGUCCCCAGCCAGUGUUUCAAACAUGCUUCCUAUACCAAAUGCUAGCAGCCCUUCCGUUGGGACAUCAAUGGCUGACCAAUCAAUUCUUGAGAAAUUUAGAAAUAUUGAGGCUAUAUCGAAUCGGUAUGAAAUAACAUUUGCGAAAUCUGCUAACUCUACAUUACGGCUUUGGUUUGACAAUUUGUUUAUUUUCAUUUUCUGGGGUUACCUGUAGAAAUAUGUUUUGGAAAUUUAUGACUGCACAAUUUCAGUACAAUAACUCCCUCCUGUCACAAGAAGAUGUGACUCUGGAAUUUCUGCAUUUAGUUGUUUAGCUUUUGACAAAUGAUACUCAUCGAUAGUACCUCCUAGUAGGAUUAGAAUGUAUAUAAUUGAUAUUGACAAUUUAUCAAAAAAUAUUUUCAUACAUUAAACUUUCAUAAUUUUCCCUCUUCAAAUGUACUAUACAAUACUAAAACCUAAUGGUCCAAGUUAAAUCUUCUUGAAAUUUGGAGGUGCAGAGUGUCGCUUAUUUUUGUAACUUGGUAAAAAGAACUGAAAAGAAAUGCUGCUUUAACAUUGCUUUGAACGCUAAAUGUCACUUCCCUUGAGUCAGUUAUCCUGCAUAUGUUAUUAUGUUUAAUACAAUUAAAGUACUCCAUCCGUUCACAAAUAUAAGAUGUUUUGGAUAUUUCAAUAUGGACUACAUACAGACUGAAAUGAGUGAACGAACACACUAAAACGUGUCUAUAUACAUCCGAUUCAGAAAAAAAUAAGAACAUCUUAAUGAAUGGAGGGAGUAUUAUAAAGUUGACUUGUAUAAUUUUGUUCUGUUUACCUGUUUGGCAUGACAUGUGUUUUACUUGAACAUUGAUCCAGUCAUAUAGCAGGUCAUAGUUGGUAGAAUUGCUUAGUUAUGGCAGCAGAUUUGAAAUCAGAAACCUUUCAGCCUGACAUUUUACGAUCUUUUUCAUAUGCAUAUGAUUGUUUAUGAUUGCAGCUGAAGCUGUUGGCAUAUUUUGUUUCAGGCAUCAGCUGCACAAUAAGAAGAACAAAGUUGAUAAGUUAUCUAAUAAUAGGAAGCCCAUGAUAAAUGCAAGCCGAGAGAAAGUUGUUACACUUCUCUCCAGUUGCUUCCAUACUGAGGAUUACAAAGACGAGUUGAGGCCUCUUUGUAAUUCUAUGUUGAGUGGAACAAUAAAUUCCUUUAGGACCAGAAUACUGAACUUUGUUGUUGCCAACCGCUCAUACCAAGGUUUGUGAUCUACACAAGAUUGUAUAUCUGUUCCCAAAUUAGGAUUAAAGUUGAAGCUUUGAUUAGUAUGAUUAAAAUCACUUCCUACAGGUCCUACAAAGCCGUUCCGGAUCAUUUUCAAGGAUAAGCCUGAUGGGACAGUGGGAAUGCAAUAUGGAGACCCAGAAGAUUUCGACAAUCGGAACUCACAUGAGUGUACACUCAUAUUACCCAGCAAGGUAUGCAUUAAUUACUGAUUGUAUCCUCCCGUGCAGAACCAAGUACCAAAAACUUGAAAACAGCAGGUUUAUAGUAUGUGUUUUCUCUUCCUGUGGUUAACCUCUCUAUUGGUUUUUCUAUCAGUACCAUGCCGACUUGCUUGCAACACAACUUAUUGCUCGGGUGAGUUUCAACUACCCUAAAGAUUGCUUGGAAUUAAUAAUUUUGAUAGUGUCCUGAAUUUUGAACCUUUUGAACCCUUGACCCUAGAUGGAGAAAGAAGGCUAUGAUAAGGCAGAUGAUCAAGUUGUGCCCAGCAACCCUCCUGGUAACCUCAGUGGACUAUCAGGCAUGUUAGCAGACAAUACAGCCAAUGAAGUGAAACAAGAGGGAGGUAUAACCCAGCAACUUAAUGCUGCAGCCCAUGCAAAUAUGGUAUCUGGAAGCCCUUUGCAACAACUUUCUGCCAAUAGGAUGCUUCCAUCUGGGAGUAGCAACCAGGCAGUACCAAUGCAGCAAGAGUAUAUGCAGGGUGCAACCAUGUCUCCAAGGAGUCAACAACUCGACCAAAAUUUAAUCCAGCAGCAACAACAUCAGCAGCCACAGCUGCAGCAGAAUGCACAAUCACAGCUUCAGCAACAAACAUCUCUUCCUCUCAACCAGAUGCAGAGACCCCAACUGCUACCAGCAAGCCCAUUAUCUCAGAUGCUGGGGCCUGGCUCAAAUCUCCCAAUGGGCUCGAACCACACGAGUAACACCAAGGCUACUCCUGCUUCCUUGCAGCUUCAUAUGAUGCAGCAAGUACAGCAGCAACAGCCAGUGCAGAUGUCAAGAAAAGUGAUGAUGGGGCCUGGCUCAUCUGUGAACAUGGGCAACAUGGUUAACAAUGUAGUAGGCCUCAGCGGUCUUGGAAAUAUUAUGGGAAUGGGCAACGUGCGGUCAGUGUCCUCCCCGAUGGGAUCCAUGUCAGGCUUAGGGAACAGUCCCAAUCAGAUGAGCCUUGGAAUGGCAUCCAAUCUUGCCGCAGCUGGGCUUCGUCCAGGUAUGAACCCUGCUGCUAUUGCCAAGAUGCGUAUGGGAUUAGCUCAGCAACAAAGGGUGACCAGCCUUUACCCCCAGACUGGAAUGGUUGGAUUGCCUGGCAGUGGUUCACCAAUCCUUCCUAGUUCUGCCGGCUUGGCGAUGAUGGGCCAUCAUUCACUAAAUAGAAACAACCUUAAUCCCAUGCAGAGGGCCAUGAUGUCUCCAAUGGGCCCACCAAAGAUGCCAGUGGGUAAUUUUCAGAUGAAUGCCCAACAGCAGAUGCAACAGCUGCAGCAGCUCCAGCAACAGCAGCAGCAGCUCCAGCAACAGCAGCAACUGCAGCAGCAGCAACUGCAGCAGCAGCAACUGCAGCAGCAGCAACUCCAACAGAACCCACAGCAGCAGCAGCAGCAUCAGCAGCAGCAGCAGCAGCAGCAGCAGCAACUACAGCAGCAGCAGCAGCAGCAGCAGCAGCAUCAGCAUCAGCAUCAGCAGCAGCAGCAGCAUCAGCAUCAGCAUCAGCAUCAACAGCAACAACAAAUGGGAUCUCCUUUGCAGCAGGCAGCACAAGUAGGUUCGCCUGCUGGUUCACAACAGUCAUUGGUGAUGCAGCAGCAGCAAAUAAGCCCGCAGCAAAUGGCUGCGAUGAGCCCGCAAUUGAGCUCAGGGGCUCUGCAACAAGUGAAUAACAAUGUAGUCAAUCCUGUGGGGACGCCAGGCCCUCCUCAAAGUCCACAGUUGAGCUCACACUCACAGACCCAAGGUUCAGUCAGCAGCAUUGCAAACUCUCCAAUGGAACAGCUGCAAAGUGCCAAUAUGGGAGGUCCUGGUAGCAUGUAGUAACUGCAAAUAUUUGAUCCUGUCCGUGGGGAUACGCAAUAAUGGAAGAUAUAAGCAUUGACAAAGACGGCCACUGCUUUCUUGUUUGUUGUGGUAAUUGAGGUCAAAUUAGUUUUCCUGCAAGUUAUAAACGAUAGAUGCAGUUGUUCUGGAGGAACCCUUUUUUCCGCCGGGAUUUGUGAUGUAGAUUGUUGUAGCUGAUGGAAAUAGUGCAUGUAGGAAGGAGCUCAGUACUAGGAGAUACAUUGUUCAACCGAACUACAUUUUCUUGUUUAAAUUAGAGCUGUUAGAUACGUAUAUCUGCUACAUAGCCGAUUGUCAUAGCCGAUUGUGCUUGUUUACCUUUUUUUUACCAGGAAACAGUUGUGCCUAUAAUAAGUAUGCCCAUUUCAUUGUGAAUAAAGUUGUCAUGUUUUUAUCUUGGAACUUGUAGAUGUUGCAACAUACUGACAUUAUUGCUGUGUACAAAAUUUAAACUUUGAAAAGAAAAGAAUAUUUAAUACCUUCUCCCUCCUUCCGGAAUUAACUGUCGCUGAAAUGAGUGAAUCUACACAGUGAAAUGCGUCUAAAUACAAUUCGGGAUGGAGGGAAUAUGUCAGAAAAUGGCGUAUGACAGUAAAGAAAAGGAAGACAAGAGAUGUGUAUCCUCCUGUUUGAAGCCACUUAAGCAUCCGAUUUACAGUACCGCGCGCUCGCUGGCUCCCUGCGCUUGUCCUUGUCUUCCCAUGCUUGGUUGCCACCGCGCCCGUCACCCUCGCUCGCCUGCCGUGCCCGGCACUUGCCUCGGCUGCCUCCGCUCACCAUGAUUGCAGCAGAGCUUGAACAGAGGAGGGUUCCAGCGCCCUCUAGCCAUGGUUGCCGCAUCCCAGGGUCCCCGUCUCCGGCUCGCCGCCGACAUCGACUUGCACCACCAUGUCUAGCCAAAAAAGCAACAAAAACCUCCAGUAUUGGGUUGAAGUAAAAGGAUUUGCCGGUUCCAACAAAAAUAAUGAUGGUUCCAGCAAAAAUCUCGGAAGCAAAAAAACUUCAGUAGUCGAUUUGUAGCAAACAAAUUAGCUAGUUCCAGCAAAAAGAAAUGCUGGUUCCAACAAAAAAUCAUGCCACUUGGAGCAAUUUUGUAGCUGGUUCCAGCAAAUUACAUGACACCGUGAUGCAUGUCAUGUAAUGGAUGUAGCAAUUGAGAACAUUGGUUGCAGCAAAAACUCAGAUGGUGGUAGCAAAAAAAUUGAUUGGUUCCAGCAAAAAUCGAAGAUGGUGGUAGCGAAAAUUAAUGUGAUUGUAGCAAACAAAUCUCAGCAACAAAAACUACAGUAGUCGUCUAGAAGCAAAAAGAACAUACGGUUCCAGCAAAACAGAGUGCGAUUCCAGCAGAAAAAUUACCAAAUCCAGCACCUCAAAUUGAUGUGGUUGUAGCUUUUUCCCUGGCAGGUUCCAGCACCUCCCACUGUGGACGCAACUUUUUCAUGGCCGGUUGCAACUUCUUCAACAGUUGAGGGAAAAAAGAGGGCUAAGUGUGGGUGACGAAGGGGAUGGAGUUCAUCCAUGAUUGCAGGAAUGAGAAGGGGGUGGAGUUUGUCCAUGGACGCAACACUCCGCUUGCAUGGCUCCGCGCCCUCAACUGUAGUCGCCGGGAUGUCGAGGAUUCAGAGAGGCGGAGAGAGAGAACGGCGACAGGGGAAGGAACUGGAUAGAUCUCGCGUGGGGUGGCGAUAAGAUUUCUGUGGAGGGCAAUGGGCAAGCGGUCGUGUGGGUGCAGGUUUUUUAUGGGUGCGUGGGUCCAGGUGGAUGUGCGUUGCGCGAGGAGGUGACCGGCCCAAUUUCGGCCGGUUCACCGAUUGCAA
rnacentral:lncRNA from 1 species